rnacentral:rRNA from 1 species
GGUUAAGCGACUAAGCGUACACGGUGGAUGCCUAGGCAAUCAGAGGCGAUGAAGGACGUGCUAAUCUGCGAUAAGCGUCGGUAAGGUGAUAUGAACCGUUACAACCGACGAUUUCCGAAUGGGGAAACCCAGUGCAAUUCGUUGCACUAUCGUUUGAUGAAUACAUAGUCAAACGAAGCGAACCGGGGGAACUGAAACAUCUCAGUACCCCGAGGAAAAGAAAUCAACCGAGAUUCCCCUAGUAGCGGCGAGCGAACGGGGAGCAGCCCAGAGUCUUAAUCAGCAUUAGCAUCAGGAGAACGGUCUGGAAAGUCCGGCAGUAAAGGGUGAUAGCCCCGUAUCCGAAGGUGUUAGUGUUGUGAACUCGACGAGUAGGGCGGGACACGUGUUAUCCUGUCUGAAUAUGGGGGGACCAUCCUCCAAGGCUAAAUACUCCUGAUUGACCGAUAGUGAACCAGUAC